UCUCAUUAAGCGGAGGAAAAGAAACUAACAAGGAUUCUCUUAAUAAAGGCGAUCGAAGAGAGAAAAGUUCAACUCCAAAAUCUUUUUUAAAGAUAAUGUGGAGAGAUUUCUAAUAGCGGUGUAAAAGUGGGCAUUGAAUCCCCACAAGAAAGAGUUUAAGUCUCGUUAACACAGCUUUAAUGAUAAUCUAAAUAGAGUAGGGUAGCUUGAGAUUGCUGCCUGAAUAUGGGAGGGAUAUUCCUUCUAAAACUAAAUAUUGUAAGUAGACCGAUAGAGGAUAAGUAGCGUGAGCGAACGAUGCAAAGAACUCUAAAGAGGAGAGUGUAAAGAGCCUGAAAUUGUCUAGGCUAAUCUAUUUUGAUAGGCCCGUCUUGUAACACGGAUCGAGGAGUUUAUCAUAUGUGCGAGCUUUUUAUUUUGAAAAGCGUAGAGAAAGCGACUGGUAAUAUGGCGAACGAGCAUAUAUGAUAGAACCCGAAAGGAGGUGAACUAUUCCAGUGUAUGGUGAAGCCAGGGGAAACUCUGGUGGAAGCCAGAAGCAAUACUGAUGUGCAAAUCGUUUGUCAAACAUUGGUAUAGGUGCGAAAGACUCAUCGAACCUCCUAAUAGCUGGUUUCAUCCGAAGUUUCCCUCAGGAUAGCCGCGACAAAACUAGAUGGGGAAGGUAGAGCACUGGGUAGAAGUGUAGGGAUGCUUCGGUGUCUCAACUUAUUUCCAAACUCCGAAUAUUCCCGAUUUAUUUAUCUACAAAAUAUGAGAUGAAUAAUAAUUCAUAAUUAGUUGUCGUGAGUGGGCUUGUACCGGUAAGCGGUUCAGGCGAUAAGGGAUUAACCUUCUGUGAAGUUAAGGUUCCUAAAGUACUAUCAUUAAUACCAUUAAGAAGGUCUUUGUGUGGAGACAGCAGGUCGGUGUCCCUAAAAGUAGGCAUCCGUCAAAGAGUGUGUUAAUCCUCCCCUGCCGAAUACUCAGGCUUCGAAAAUGGAAGGGGUAUUUAGUACUACCGAUACUUCACUGCUUAUUUUUUAAAAUAAGCAAGUAGGAUGACGUGGAUAUCUCUGAGAAUGAGUUAAGUAAUUAAUUUUGGAGAGGUAUCUAGUGCAGAUCUCGAUUGAAGUAGUGAUUAUCCAGGUUAGUUUCCUGGGGGCUGAAGAGGGGUAAGGUUUCUGGACAACGGUGAACGUCUCAGAGUUAGUCGAAACUAACCUCAUUUUUUAAUGAGGGAAAGGGAAUACGGUUGACAUUCCGUAACUACUAAAAAUCCAGUGGUGACACUAUUGAACUAUCUUAGGGGCAUUAACACAGUUGGUAGGAGUUUCUUUCCUACAUGACCUCACUUUAUAUCCCAGAAACAGGUCAACUGGAGAAGAGUAUAUAAAAGAGGGCAAAGUCACAGUUUUGUGAGUAUUUUGGUGUAAGUGUCUCACUUUAAAGGAUAGUUCGAAGGUUUUUAGAUUAUAGUACUCGUACUGAUAACCGCAUCAGGUCCCCAAGGUGAGUAGCCUAUGGCCAUAGGGGUGGUUUUCCUCAGGGAAUUCGGCCAAUUAGACCUGUAACAUCGGGAUAAGGGUUGGCUCUACAGGAAUGUAGAACCCAUAGUUACAAGGGAAGCCCAACUGUUUAAUAAAAACGCAACCUUGUGCAUUUCGAUAUUGAAGAAAAGUACACAAGGCGAAUCCUGCUCAGUGCUGUGCCUGUUAAAGUGUUUCAACGCAAAAAAGCACCGGUAAAUAGCUAGGGUAACUAUGACUCUUAUUCAAAGUAGCAAAAUACCUCGUCACUUAAUUAGUGACGCGCAUGAACGGAGCUAUGAGGUUUCCACUGUCCCAAGGAAUAUCCCUACGAACCGACAGAAGUGGCAACGGGCACUUGAAUUCCAGCGGGGAAAGAAGACCCUGUAGAGCUUCACUGUGGUCUAAUUUUGUGUAGUUUCUAUAUGGGUGCAGUCUAGGU
rnacentral:rRNA from 1 species